rnacentral:lncRNA from 1 species
UCUUAUGUUCCCUCUCUAGCAUCCUCCUUUCCAACCUCUCCAUGUUGGCAUUGUUUUCUCUCCUUAUUUCAGCCAUAUUUGCAGCCAUAGUAUUGGACAAGGUUUCCAAUGCCCGGUUAAGGUUGGCUGAACUAACUUCAAGGGCUUCUAACCUCCUAUCUUGGUUGUUAUAAUGGGGGGACUCUAUCUCCUUUUAACCCUCUGUUUUAGGACUCUAAAACCUUGAGACAACAACCC